rnacentral:lncRNA from 1 species
GAAGGGGGUCAUCAAGUUCACUCAGAAGAGACAAAGAGCGAGGAAGGCCCCGCGGGACGCGAACCCCGGCACCCGGGCCAGGCGGCAGCGCCGCCCCCCAAGGGAGUGUGGGUGUGGCAGCAACCCAGCAUCUACCAUGCCGACCAUGUGCCAUGCCAUGCACCGCGUGUCGUAACAGGACAACAGAGCAAGAGACCCAGCAGACAGGGGUCCCCAGCAACCUCAUGAAGCGCCAUCCACUCACCUCCAGACAGUCUGGGGAGAGAGACUGAAACUUCUGUCUAAGCCACUUCAUCUUUGAUCUCCUUGUUUUUGUGGUUCAGGUUGUAUCUUAAUAAAUAAAACGUGUUUGAGUUCA